rnacentral:rRNA from 3 species
UGCCCCUUACGCCUUGGGCUACACACGUACUACAAUGGCCGGGACAAAGAGUCGCAAGCAUGCGAAUGCAAGCUAAUCUCAUAAACCCGGUCUUAGUUCAGAUUGCAGGCUGCAACUCGCCUGCAUGAAGGCGGAAUCGCUAGUAAUCGCAGGUCAGCAUACUGCGGUGAAUACGUUCCCGGGCCUUGUACACACCGCCCGUCACACCAUGGAAGCUGGUCACGCCCGAAGUCGUUAUCUCAACCCGCAAGGGAGGGAGGCGCCUAAGGCAGGGCUGGUGACUGGGGUGAAGUCGUAACAAGGUAGCCGUACCGGAAGGUGCGGCUGGAUCACCUCCUUA